rnacentral:sRNA from 14 species
GGGUGCCCUGUUCCUCACAGGUCCAUGGAUGUCCUUCCUGAAGUUGCUUGCUCACAGAAGACGAAGACAUCCCCUGACUAGAAGGGGACCCGUCCUUCAUUAAGGAUAUGUGAGUGACUGUGCUCCCCUGCUAGAGCCUCCAAAUAAGUUCUCAAGAGUUGAAGGCCUGCAUCUGCUGUAUAGGCUAUGCAAUCUCACUUCAGAAAAGAAUUAUGUCAUAAGACAGUAUUUGGUUGUUUUUA